ACGCACGCUGGCGGCGUGCUUAACACAUGCAAGUCGAACGGAAAGGCCCUGCUUUUGUGGGGUGCUCGAGUGGCGAACGGGUGAGUAACACGUGAGUAACCUGCCCUUGACUUUGGGAUAACUUCAGGAAACUGGGGCUAAUACCGGAUAGGAGCUCCUGCUGCAUGGUGGGGGUUGGAAAGUUUCGGCGGUUGGGGAUGGACUCGCGGCUUAUCAGCUUGUUGGUGGGGUAGUGGCUUACCAAGGCUUUGACGGGUAGCCGGCCUGAGAGGGUGACCGGCAACAUUGGGACUGAGAUACGGCCCAGACUCCUACGGGAGGCAGCAGUGGGGAAUAUUGCACAAUGGGCGGAAGCCUGAUGCAGCAACGCCGCGUGCGGGAUGACGGCCUUCGGGUUGUAAACCGCUUUCGCCUGUGACGAAGCGUGAGUGACGGUAAUGGGUAAAGAAGCACCGGCUAACUACGUG
rnacentral:rRNA from 1 species